GGGGAAAUAGCUCAGUUGGUUAGAGUGCUGGUCUGUCACGCCAGAAGUCACGGGUUCGAACCCCGUUUUCCCUG
rnacentral:tRNA from 1 species